ACUUCCGGUUGCUAACGGUUCCCAAACAGCCCCCGAAAACGCUACGUGAGCUGGGCCCUGGGCCAGAGGCAGAAAACGGACGGAAGAAAAGGUCUGGCCGGAGAUGGGUCUCACUCUGUCACCCAGACUGGAGUGCAGUGAGUGGUGCGAUCAUAGCUUACUGCAGCCUGAAACUCCUGGGCUCAAGUGAUCUUCUCGCCUCAGCCUCCUGAGUAGCUGGAGCUACAGGUGUGAGCUACCCAGCAUGGCUCAUUUGAGAUUUCUGAGUAGAGAAGUAACAUGAUUAAACUUGGGCCUCUGACAAUAUGAUACUAAGCCAUCAUAGCCCCUGUGACCGCCACGUAUACAUCCAGAUGACCUGGAGCAACUGAAGAACCACAAAAGAUGGCAUUCCACCAUUGAGAUUUGUUCCUGCCCCACCCCAACUAAUCAAUCGACCUUGUGACAUUCCCCCUGCCCCCGACAGUGAGUCUCAUGAUCUCCCCACCCAGCACCUUGGCACCUUGUGACCCCCGCCCCUGCCCACAAGAGAUAACCACCUUUAACUGUAAUUUUCCACUACCUACCCAAAUCCUAUAAAACUGCCCCACCCCUAUCUCCCUUUGCUGACUCUCUUUUUGGACUCAGCCCACUUGCACCCAAGUGAAAUAAACAGCCUUGUUGCUCACACAAAGCCUGUUGGUGGACUCUCUUCACACAGACUCACUUGACAUUUAUAGAACACAAAAUUAAGAAUAGUGAAUAUGAAAAGGUUCACUAAUAAGAAUUUAAACAAAACAAGAAAGAUUUUUAAGAUUGCUAAAGACAAACGAUUUAUAAUAUUCAGUGUUAGGAGGUGUGUGGAUAUACAGGCAUACUUAGUUUUACAUUUUUAGAAGGUAAGACUUAUUUAGAAGGUAAGAAGUUGUCCAUACCCCUUGAUUCAACAACUUAGCUUCUUGGAAUUAUCCAUAUAGAAAUGCUUACAUAAAUGUUUGAACGUAUGUACAAAGAAGCACUAUUUAUUUAAAUUGGGAAACUUGAAUGCCUAACAUUUGGAAUUUAAAUUUUUAUAUGUCUAUUC
rnacentral:lncRNA from 1 species